CAAGCAUGAAUAACUCCCAACUAUUAAAAAUGGUGCAAAGAUUUUUCAAUGUCAGGCUAAAAUUUGCUGGCCGCUAUCCAAGAAACCAGAAAAACCAGUUUAGAAUGGGACCCCAACCUGGGGGACUCUCCCAAGAAGACCAACGAAGCUGCCUGUUUGGGAAGUUCCUUCAGGAAGGAGUAAGGCCCUGUCAUUUGUCUUUGUUCCCUUAACUCUUCAGCUUUGAUGAGCAGGACCACCUCAGGAAGAAGAGCCAUCCGUGGACUAUAUGUGGACCAAAUCAGCAUGGAAACCCACUGAAUAGAAAAUCUGCUAUUUGGGAACUCCCAGUGGCAAUCCCACUGGUCAGAUCGCCCAGGUUGCGUCUUCCCUCUGUUGAUGGCUUCCUUGGAUGUGCAGAAGCUUCUCAGUUUGAUACAAUCCCGUUGUUAUAUUCUCACCUUCUGAUCUCUAGGUGCCAAUGCAUGUCCCCCUGGGCCCACAGAGCAAACAGGUGACAGCCACAGCAGGAUACAGGAGCCCUGGCCACCGCCUCCUGUUCUACCUGCACCUCUGGCCAUCUGGGCCAGGUGCAGGAGGCGGGCACGCAGGCCACUGCAGGCAAAGCAUGGGGCCAACCAGCUGGAGUGCCCAGGGGCCACCAUCCACUGCAGAUGGUGCAGCCAGACCAGGCUUGGUGCUGCCACACUUGUGGCCAGGCCCUAUCCUGCAAACCCCACAAUGAGCACUGCAGGGCCUCCUCUCAGAGUCUCACACAGACCCGCCAAAUUUGAGGUUCCAUGAGGGCCCAAGGGGUGUUAGAAAAAUACUCACACACUUGGAGAUUUUGAAGAUAAAGCUGGGGUCAGGUGGAGAAGCAGAUCUAGAGUUAAGCCAGCAAGCUUUAUUUAUGUAUGUCUCCUUAGGUUAAAGACUAUGCAAGCAUUAUUCUUUGUACGCCGGAAAGUUACAGAACUAGAGACAUCUAUGCAGCUGUUCCACAGUUGAGUGUGCAAUGUCAGGAGCUUUGCGGAGCGCUCAAGGGGCCCAUUGUUUAAAGUUACUGUUAAGCAGACAGGCCGGGGCAGACGUGCUGGUGAUGCUGAUUGUCUAGGAGGACAGUUACUCUGUCCCCAGGAGCUGUGUACCUGGGGUCAAGGCCAAAGCUGAUAAGACUCCUCCACAGAGCCUCCUCAUGCAGGGCGUUGCCAGAGGAACUAGGCAUCCUGUGUUCCCACCAUCAGGCUCACCACAGUCAUGAGGUCACCAGAGACCCAAAUCUCAGUCACUGCUCUCCCAUUCUCUGUCACCACUUUCCACAUCUUUCCCUUUUUAUUUUUUAAAUGAAGACCUGCGGCCACAGCUAGCAGGGCAGAGCCGAGUCCUGCCUGGCUGUGAUGAAGAUUCCGGAAAACUUCCACCUGAGCAGAGUGCUGAGGCACUUGUGGUCCCCCUGGAGCUCACUCGUAUGCCCAGAGGCCUCAGGGACUUGUAGUCUGCCCAAGUGACAUUGAUAUCAUAGCAAGUUGACCCCCUCAUAGGCUGGGUUAGGAAAUGUUUUCUACUCCUCAAUUUUUCAGAAAUUUUGAAAAGGGGCAUCUCAGAACAAAGUGGCAAUGACAAGACUGCUUUAUUGAACAUCAGAAUAAAUAACAGAAGAGAGAUGAAGGAGAUACACCACAGAGUGGCAGCAGAGAGACCCCAUGAAAACGGAACCACUUGAAAAACGUCAACCAAACUGACCGACCAUUUACCACAGGAGUAAGGAGAAAAAAGAAGACUCAGACCCGAAGGCGGGGACAUUACUUAUGGCUCCACAGAAAUAGAGGAUUGUGGGGAGCCAUUCUCACACGUGACUGGGCAACUCCCGGACUGGGUGUGAGGCGCUCUGGCUAAACUGUGUCGGAGCUUUCCCGGCCCUCUCCUGGUGCGAGAGCCUGUCCGUGUGGGGGUGUGACUGACCACUGACCCUGGGGCCAAUCACUGACCCUGACCUUGGAGUGCUGCCCCCCUCAACCUUCAUUGGAUGGAAUUCUCCCCUGAAUUUCUUGUUCCCCAAUAAAAGGCCCCUCCCUGGCGUGCUCUCUCUCUCUCCUGCUAGCCCUGAGCAAUCCCUGCUGCCCUACCGGGUGGUUCGAGGUGUGAGCCAGAGGGAGAGCCGUCUCGGACCUGGUCAUAGAAAAAGGUAAUUGAG